UAGGAAGAUUAGCACAGAUGUUAGCUCAGGGUGAAUCUUCACCAAGCGAAAAGAGGAAGAUUGACAACGGAUGUUGGCUUAGGAUAAAUUUUCUUCAACAAAACAAACAAACAAAUAAAAAAACCCUACAGAAUCGCCAAUAACUGAUUUGGGUGACAUUUGCUUCUUUCUCCUAGAAGGAAAGUGUAGCAGGAAAAAGAAAUCCAAUUAGAAUUUGUAGAGUAACUGGCACAUUUCCAGUAAAUGUCUACUGAAUAACUGAUGGUGCCAGUUAAAGGUGCUAUUCCAUGUGGCAAAUAUGUUGAUGAAAAAGGAAAUUAAAACUUCAACCUGGAGGAAAGUAAUAUAUUGACUUGUUGAUAGAUAUUUUUCGAUAUAUACUUUAAAAUGACAACUUAUACAAUUAUGUUGUAAACUCCUUGAAAUCAGUUACCAAGGUUCUUGGUCCUCUAUUUCUUGCACAGGCUUAACUCAGAAAGUACUUCAUCCAGGUUUGCUGAAUAAUUGGACAGAAUAAUGAGUGAGCCUACGGACAGACCACCUAAAUUCAGCUUCUGCUGAAUUUAAAUUACUGUUUCAGAACUCAGAUAAAAUUGACAGAGAGCUCUGAGGUUUUAUUUUUCUUUGUUUCAUUCAGUAAAUACUUAUUGAAGGACACUAUUUGCAUAGAGUGGUGAAGGAGGUAGGCUUAGCUCUCUCUCUCCUGGGGGUUAUAUUCUAAUAGGGAGAAAGAAAAUAAAUGUAUUCACAAACAAAUAAUCCACUGUGGGACUUAUUAUAAAGGAGACAAGCAGAUUUCUAUGAUUGGGAAGGCCUCUCUGAGGAAGUGACAUUUACACUGAGAGUCCAGUUAGAAGAGAAGUGAGGAGCAGGUCUGAAGGCUCUCAAGAUUUUGGAGUGCAUGAGGAACUGAAAUAAGACCAGAGUAGCUGGGGCAUAAUGAGCUCUUGGCAGGAGCAAGCGAGGAGAAGCAGACAGAUCAUGCAAGGUCUGAGAGUCUCCUGUACGUCCUACCCCAGCCUCCAACGACUCAGCCUCACACCCCACCAUCACCAUCACCACUUCUCAGCCCUCCAGGGUGUUUGCUGUCUUCUUGAUUCUGGUAAGUGAACCCACAUGGUACAGACAUUACUCCUACUUUACAUAGGCUGUGUAUUUAUCGUAUCAUUCC